rnacentral:lncRNA from 1 species
CUUUAAGGGAAAAUGGAACUCACAGACAAAGGCAUUUAUAAAAAACACUACAGAUACUUCUACAUUAUGUGAAGAAACAGAUCUCACCAAUACAUAGGUUCAAAUUCCAGCGUUUAUUGGGGUGCACAGUAUAGUGAAUAGGAAAUAUCUCAAUCAAUCUUUCUACUUAGUGAAUCCAUUAAAGAAAGAAAGUUACUUGUUCUGAUUGUGGGAAAUUGUUCCACUGGAACGGAAAUUCCUUCCAGCAUCAUUGCGCUUACCAGAAACAGCAUUUAAUCAGGUCCUUCGAAGACUUGUCAAGGAAAGAUAUCGCUUCCUUGUUCUGAAUGUGGAAAAUGUUUCAAACUGCAGUCAAUUCUUGAAUUACAUCAAAGGAUUCACACAGGAACCGUUUUCUUGCUCUGAAUGUGGGAUUUUAUCAGUCUAAUAUGUGAUCUUCACAGACAAUAUAAUACUCACUCAGAAGAGAAACCACUUUUGUGUCCUGAAUGUGGGAAAUUCUUUGGUCAGGAGGUGGAUCUUAAACGUUGGAUGAUUUACAUAGGGUCGAAGCCAUUUUUAUGUUCUAAAUGUGGGAAAUGUUUUACAGAAAAAAAGCACAUCUUGCUCGUAUUCACUGAUUCGCACAAAUCAGAAACCAUUCUGUUGCUCUGAAUAUGGUAGAUGUUUUAUUCACGAAGCAAUGCGUAAUUCUCAUGUAUGGGUUCACACAGGAGAGAAGCCAUUGCUCUGUUCUGAAUGUGGGAAAUGUUUUAUUCUAUAAGCAAUGUGUCAUUCUCAGGUAUGGGUUCACACAGGAGAGAAGCCAUUAUCCCGUUCUGAAUGUGGGAAAUGUUUUAUUCUAUAAGCAAUGUGUCAUUCUCAGGUAUGGGUUCACACAGGAGAGAAGCCAUUACCCCGUUCUGAAUGUGGGAAAUGUUUUAUUCUAUAAGCAAUGCUUAAAUCUCAGGUACGGGUUCACACAGGAGAGAAGCCAUUACUCUGUUCUGAAUGUAGUAGAUGUAGUUGUAAAUCAUCUCUUACUAGGCAUCAGAUCAUUCACCUGCAACAGAAAGCAGUUUCUCUUUUUUAGCUCAUUGUUGCCUUAUUUAUAAAAGAAAGAAUAAUGAUCAACCCUUAAAUUAAACUGUAUUAAUGCAUUUUUGUUUUGCACAGACAAGGUG